UUAUGAGAGUUUGAUCCUGGCUCAGGACGAACGCUGGCGGCGUGCCUAAUACAUGCAAGUCGAACGCUUUUUCUUUCACCGGAGCUUGCUCCAUCGAAAGAAAAAGAGUGGCGAACGGGUGAGUAACACGUGGGUAACCUGCCCAUCAGAAGGGGAUAACACUUGGAAACAGGUGCUAAUACCGUAUAACACUAUUUUCCGCAUGGAAGAAAGUUGAAAGGCGCUUUUGCGCCACUGAUGGAUGGACCCGCGGUGCAUUAGCUAGUUGGUGAGGUAACGGCUCACCAAGGCCACGAUGCAUAGCCGACCUGAGAGGGUGAUCGGCCACACUGGGACUGAGACACGGCCCAGACUCCUACGGGAGGCAGCAGUAGGGAAUCUUCGGCAAUGGACGAAAGUCUGACCGAGCAACGCCGCGUGAGUGAAGAAGGUUUUCGGAUCGUAAAACUCUGUUGUUAGAGAAGAACAAGGAUGAGAGUAGAAUGUUCAUCCCUUGACGGUAUCUAACCAGAAAGCCACGGCUAACUACGUGCCAGCAGCCGCGGUAAUACGUAGGUGGCAAGCGUUGUCCGGAUUUAUUGGGCGUAAAGCGAGCGCAGGCGGUUUCUUAA
rnacentral:rRNA from 1 species